rnacentral:rRNA from 1 species
UACGGAGGGAGCUAGCGUUGUUCGGAAUUACUGGGCGUAAAGCGCACGUAGGCGGCUUUGUAAGUUAGAGGUGAAAGCCCGGGGCUCAACCCCGGAAUUGCCUUUAAGACUGCAUCGCUUGAAUCCGGGAGAGGUGAGUGGAAUUCCGAGUGUAGAGGUGAAAAUUCGUAGAUAUUCGGAAGAACACCAGUGGCGAAAGGGCGGCUCACUGGACCGGUAUUGACGCUGAGGGUGCGAAAAGCGUUGGGGGAGCA